rnacentral:rRNA from 1 species
ACGGGAGCUUGCUCCCGGGCGUCGAGCGGCGGACGGGUGAGUAAGGCAUAGGAAUCUGCCCGGUAGUGGGGGAUAACCUGGGGAAACUCAGGCUAAUACCGCAUACGUCCUACGGGAGAAAGCAGGGGACCUUCGGGCCUUGCGCUAUCGGAUGAGCCUAUGUCGGAUUAGCUGGUUGGUGAGGUAAUGGCUCACCAAGGCGACGAUCCGUAGCUGGUCUGAGAGGAUGAUCAGCCACAUCGGGACUGAGACACGGCCCGAACUCCUACGGGAGGCAGCAGUGGGGAAUAUUGGACAAUGGGCGCAAGCCUGAUCCAGCCAUGCCGCGUGUGUGAAGAAGGCCUUCGGGUUGUAAAGCACUUUCAGUGGGGAAGAAGGCCUUUCGGUUAAUACCCGGGAGGAGCGACAUCACCCACAGAAGAAGCACCGGCUAACUCCGUGCCAGCAGCCGCGGUAAUACGGAGGGUGCGAGCGUUAAUCGGAAUUACUGGGCGUAAAGCGCGCGUAGGCGGCGUGAUAAGCCGGUUGUGAAAGCCCCGGGCUCAACCUGGGAAUGGCAUCCGGAACUGUCAGGCUAGAGUGCAGGAGAGGAAGGUAGAAUUCCCGGUGUAGCGGUGAAAUGCGUAGAGAUCGGGAGGAAUACCAGUGGCGAAGGCGGCCUUCUGGACUGACACUGACGCUGAGGUGCGAAAGCGUGGGUAGCAAACAGGAUUAGAUACCCUGGUAGUCCACGCCGUAAAC